rnacentral:rRNA from 1 species
UACGUAGGGGGGCUAGCGUUGUCCGGAAUCAUUGGGCGUAAAGAGCGUGUAGGCGGCUCGAUAAGUCCGCUGUGAAAGUCCAGGGCUCAACCCCUGGGAUGCCGGUGGAUACUGUCGGGCUCGAGUCCGGAAGAGGCGAGUGGAAUUCCUGGUGUAGCGGUGAAAUGCGCAGAUAUCAGGAGGAACACCAAUGGCGAAGGCAGCUCGCUGGGACGUGACUGACGCUGAGACGCGAAAGCGUGGGGGAGCAAACAGG